UACGAAGGGAGCUAGCGUUGUUCGGAGUUACUGGGCGUAAAGGGCGCGUAGGCGGUCUGUCAAGUCGGGAGUGAAAUCCCUGGGCUCAACCCGGGAAUUGCUCUCGAGACUGGCAGGCUAGAGGAUGGGAGAGGUUGGUGGAAUUCCCAGUGUAGAGGUGAAAUUCGUAGAUAUUGGGAAGAACACCGGUGGCGAAGGCGGCCAACUGGACCAUUUCUGACGCUGAGGCGCGAAAGCUAGGGGAGCAAACAGG
rnacentral:rRNA from 1 species